rnacentral:rRNA from 1 species
UGAGGAAUAUUGGACAAUGGUCGCAAGCCUGAUCCAGCCAUGCCGCGUGCAGGAAGAAGCAUCUAUGGUGUGUAAACUGCUUUUGUACGGGAAGAAACACUCCUUCGUGAAGGAGCUUGACGGUACCGUAAGAAUAAGGAUCGGCUAACUCCGUGCCAGCAGCCGCGGUAAUACGGAGGAUCCAAGCGUUAUCCGGAUUCAUUGGUUUUAAAGGGUCUGUAGGUGGUUUAGUAAGUCAGUGGUGAAAGCCCAUCGCUCAACGAUGGAACGGCCAUUGAUACUGCUAGACUUGAAUUAUUAGGAAGUAACUAGAAUAUGUGGUGUAGCGGUGAAAUGCUUAGAUAUUACAUGAAAUACCAAUUGCGAAGGCAGGUUACUACUAAUGGAUUGACGCUGAUGGACGAAAGCGUGGGGAGCGAACA